UCCUCGUUUCCGUGCCGGCGCGCAUGCCCAUACGCACAAGCAUACCGAUACAUACGCCAAACGCGUACAUGCGUCUCCGGAAGCAGGGCGGCGCACGAAGGAACGCGAAGCUUGCAUAGCACAACAAAAAAACUCAGCGGUGGGGCGCUGCUUUACCUUCUUGCUUGCCCCCGACCCAAUCCCCACCCUGUAUCCAAGGCGUGACAGCCCUGACCGUCUCUCAUACACCACGAAGCAAAGACGUACGUCUCUCUCGUUCUUCUGAUCUCGCAGUGUGGUGCAGGUCGUGCACGCCCAUCAGCCUUCGCCGCUGCUUCCGCACGAGCAUCCAUCAAGAUGAAGCGUGGCCGCAGUCGCUCCUCGUCCACCGGCUCGGCGGCGGCAGAAAAGAGGUCGCACACGGUUCGUGAGGAGGUGGCGCUGUUUCUCUUUCGCCGCGACUUGCGUGUGGUGGACAACACCGGUCUGCAGGCGCUCUGCGACGAGGCCGCGCGCCGUUUUAUCCCGGUGCUGCCGGCGUUCUUCUUCAACCCGAUUCAAUGCGACAAGAAGAGGAACCCGUACUUUGGCGACGCCUUUUUCCAGUUCUUCUGCGAGUCCCUCAUAGACUUGGACGGCGCGGCGCAGCUCAACGGUGGACUGGUGUGCCUACGCGGCAGCGACGAGGAUUGCUUGCAGCGCAUCCGAGACAGCGGCUAUGAGGUGAAAGUGCUUGGGUUCAACGAGGACUACACCCCCUUUGCCCUCGCGCGCGAUCGGCUGCUGCGCGCCUACGCAGACAAGCAGGGCAUCGUGUGCGUGACAGGGCCUCACGACUACUCGCUGCGUCCUCUGGAUGAGGUGGUCAAGAACUCUGAGCAGCCGUACAGCGUCUUCACUCCGUUCUACAACAAGUUUACGGCCGAGCAUGCGCGCAGGGUGGCGGUACCGCUGCCGGUGAACGUGAGCAAGGUGCAGUCGAUGCUGGUUUCGCGGCCAAAAAAGUGCAUGGGGCAUCACUUGGUAGAUCCAGCGCUUGUGUACGCGCACAUGCCGCAGGUGCAGGACCACGGCGGUCGCACAGAGGGGCUGAAGCGAUUAGCGUGCGUGGAGAGGCUGAAGCAGUACGCAGAUGCCCGCGACGACAUCGCAGGAGACCGCACCUCGCACCUCAGCCCACACAUGAAGUGCGGCACGGUGUCGACGCGGGAGGUGUGGCACGCCAGCGUGCAGGCGCUCGGCACUGGGCACCCGUUCACUCGUCAACUUGUGUGGCGCGAGUUCUAUGCGAUGCUGGCCUUCACGCGCCCACGGCUCUUGCAAGGGCAGCUGAACUCCUUUAUUGGCCAGCAGGACAUCGUUAAGGCGACGCAGCCGAAGCAGAAUGCACCGUUCCAACCGUCGUACGACAACUUCAAGUGGAGCUGGAAGGCAGAGCACUUCGAGGCGUUCAAGGAGGGGCGCACCGGUGUACCGCUUGUCGACGCCGCCGUGCGGUGUCUGACCGCCACCGGCUGGUGCCACAACCGUUGCCGCUUAGUCAUCUCUAACUUUGCCGUCAAGGUGCUGGGAAUCGACUGGCGCGAGUGUGAGCGGUGGUUUGCGACGGUGGCUGUAGACUACGACGCCGCGAACAACAACGGUGGCUGGCUGUGGUCCUCGGGCCAGGGUGCGGACGCGCAGCCGUACUUUCGCACCUUCAACGCAUUCCGCCAGUCGGAGCGCUUCGACCCGGACUGCAAAUUCAUCUUUCAGUGGGUGCCUGAGCUGGCGAAGGUGCCGCCGAGCGUCGUGCACCACUGGGAAGGGUACUGUGCGAGGGCUAGAGGCAAGGCGACCGCUACCCACUCGAGGAAACGGAGUGGCCAAGGGAACGCAGAGGAAUAUCCCACAUCGUAUCCUGCGCCGAUUGUGGACAUCAAGGCCGCCACCAAGGCGGUCGUUGAGGAGUUCAAGAAGUACAGCAAGUACAAGGAAAACUAGCCGAUGUGCCCCCUCCCCCCACCUCUGUGUGGGACUGAUGUGAGCUCGGGCGAUGGCGGGGGAAGCGUUGGCGAGGAAGAGGCGCGGCGUGCUCCUCGCCUCCCUCCCUCUCUCCUUCGUCGUCGCCGCCAUCAAACGGCAGACCAGUUUCGCAACACAAAUUUACAUACACAUAUACAUAGAUGCACACACACACACACACAUGCACGUGCACACGCGACCAUUCAAGGAUGGCCCCGGAAACACCGGCGAGCACAUGGCGCACACCGCGUGCCUGUGGACUCUGCCCCUCUCCGUGUUGGCAACCCCCACGAGUGUGAGCCUUGCGCACGGCUUUUCCUCCUCUCUACUUUGCCGUGCCUUCCUUACUCCCUCAUGGCGACGGUGCGUGUGUGUGUGUGUGUGGGCACGCCUCUCGGUGCGUGGCAGCUCAGGGCCCAGUACACACGCCGACUCUCUCUGGGUGGAGGCGAAGCCGCCCGCCGCUCUCUAUCCCUGCCAAAUGCGGAGCCACCUCUGGUGGUGACAGGGUGAGGCGCCUACGACCUGGGGCGAGGUGAGAGCGAUGUGUCGCUGCUGGUGUCGGAUAGCAGGUCCUGGACGGCGUUGCGUCUGAGCGACCUGCGACCGUGGGCACACGUGUGCCAUCCACAUGAUGGGCAGAGUGUCCGCGUCGCUGGAACGCACCCCACCACCCGACCCUCGCACUGCCCGCUGGUGUGGGGAGCCCGAGGCCCCUCCGAGGGGGCUGCAUCACGUGGCGACCGGCAUGAUGUGGGAGCGGCUGUGAGGCGACCUGCGCGAUGCGGCGGCGGUGGUGGUCGGGGCUUGAGGCGGAGGCGGUGCUGAGAUGACUGGGCCGACGCAUUGCUGUACCGCGUGCGCGCACCGCUGCUUCGCAGGGCGGGAUGGGGCCUGCGGCAUGCCGGGGUGGGGUGGCGCUGGAGCUCGUGUUGGACGGCAGAGGGCGGGCACCCGCUGGGAAAGAAGUCUGUGCCACACGCUGUGUGCGUGUGCAUCGUUAAAAGUGUGCUGUUCCAGAGUAAAACCUGCGUUUACAGUCAUCGACGCACUUGCGUGCUCAUGCGCGCGUAUGGGCGUAGGCCCUUCUGCGUGCGGACAAACAUGAAUGCAGACUCCUGCGGCACUGCGUCGGGGGCUUGCUUGCCGUCGUCUCCCGAAUAGGACCAUCCGCUGCUGCCCUCUGCUUUCAUUGCUGAGCGUUCGUGUGUCUUCGGGUGUGUUUGUGUGGAGAUGCCAUGACUUUUUUUUAUGUGCGGCCUUCAGGCUCUCCCUCUAUUCGGGUAGACAGGUCUCCGCGUCACAGCCGACCGCUUGGGGGCAGCAUGAAAAUUGCCAUCCUUUUUCAAGCGACAGCCGCUCGAAGUAUUGCGAGCAAUCAACGCAGCGAAGAAUGUUGUGAGAAUUUGUUGUUGUGGAAAGCCUUUAUGCCCGUGUGCUGCGGCUUUGACAUC
rnacentral:misc_RNA from 1 species